UCCAGACUCCUACGGGAGGCAGCAGUGGGGGAUAUUGGACAAUGGGGGAAACCCUGAUGCAGCAACGCCGCGUGAGUGAAGAAGUAUUUCGAUAUGUAAAGCUCUCUCAGCAGGGAAGAAGAUGACGGUACCUGAGUAAGAAGCCCCGGCUAACUACGUGCCAGCAGCCGCGGUAAUACGUAGGGGGCAAGCGUUAUCCGGAUUUACUGGGUGUAAAGGGAGCGUAGACGGCAAUACAAGUCGGAAGUGAAAUACCCGGGCUUAACCUGGGAACUGCUUUGGAAACUGUAUGGCUGGAGUGCUGGAGAGGUAAGCGGAAUUCCUAGUGUAGCGGUGAAAUGCGUAGAUAUUAGGAGGAACACCAGUGGCGAAGGCGGCUUACUGGACAGUAACUGACGUUGAGGCUCGAAAGCGUGGGGAGCAAACAGGAUUAGAUACCCCGGUAC
rnacentral:rRNA from 1 species